CUUGACAAGUCGGUUGUGAAAUCUCCUGGCUUAACUGGGAGGGGCCAUCCGAUACUGUCAGGCUUGAGUGCAGCAGAGGAAGAUGGAAUUCCCGGUGUAGUGGUGAAAUGCGUAGAUAUCGGGAGGAACACCAGUGGCGAAGGCGGUCUUCUGGGCUGUUACUGACGCUGAGGCGCGAAAGCGUGGGGAGCGAACAGGAUUAGAUACCCUGGUAGUCCACGCCCUAAACUAUGGGUGCUGGGUAUGGGGAGUAUCGACCCUCUCCGUGCCGAAGCUAACGCGUUAAGCACCCCGCCUGGGGAGUACGGUCGCAAGACUAAAACCCAAAGGAAUUGACGGGGGCCCGCACAAGCAGCGGAGCGUGUGGUUUAAUUCGAUGCAACACGAAGAACCUCACCAGGGCUUGACAUGCUUGAAGUAGUGAACCGAAAGGGGAACGACCUGUUGAGUCAGGAGCUUGCACAGGUGCUGCAUGGUUGUCGUCAGCUCGUGCCGUGAGGUGUUGGGUUAAGUCCCGUAACGAGGGCAACCCUCGUUGCCAGUUGUUUUCUCUGGCGAGACUGCCCCGCAAAACGGGGAGGAAGGUGGGGAUGACGUCAAAUCAGCACGGCCCUUAUGCCCUGGGCCACACACACGCUACAAUGGGUGGUACAGAAGGUCGCAAUGGAGUGAUUCGGAGCUAAUCCUAAAAACCACCCUCAGUUCAGAUUGCAGGCUGAAACCCGCCUGCAU
rnacentral:rRNA from 1 species